CCUGCAAUGAGAGCUUACACAAACCAGCCAUACAAUUUAAAGCUAAAAUAAUGUAGUUGAACAUUUCUUUUUUCUUAAACACCAGUCAAUCAGACAAAAUAAUAUACUUAAAACACAAAUCACAUAACCUACUCGAAAAUUUGCCUAUAAGAAUAAUAUAUUUUUGAACAAGUUAAUAUAAUAAAAUUUUAUAUGGUACUUAUGUA
rnacentral:lncRNA from 1 species